rnacentral:rRNA from 1 species
CAGCAGCCGCGGUAAUACGAAGGGUGCAAGCGUUAAUCGGAAUUACUGGGCGUAAAGCGUGCGUAGGCGGUUUGUUAAGUCUGCUGUGAAAUCCCCGGGCUCAACCUGGGAAUGGCAGUGGAUACUGGCAAGCUAGAGUGUGUCAGAGGAUGGUGGAAUUCCCGGUGUAGCGGUGAAAUGCGUGGAGAUCGGGAGGAACAUCAGUGGCGAAGGCGGCCAUCUGGGACAACACUGACGCUGAGGCACGAAAGCGUGGGGAGCAAACAGGAUUAGAUACCCCUGUAGUCCCUGUCUCUUAUAC